rnacentral:tRNA from 1 species
GGAUUGUGGCUCAGUGGAAGAGCGCUCACCUAGCAUGCGCAGGACCCGGGUUCAAUCCUCGGCACCA